UUUCACAUUUCUUUAAGAAAGUAAGAUCCCUGAGAGAUGAUCAGGUAGAUAGGUCAGGAGUGGAAGUACAGUGAUGUAUGGAGCGGACUGAUACUAAUCGAUCGAGGACUUAACCAA
rnacentral:rRNA from 1 species